CGAAAUAUUUAAAAUUUUCUGACAUUCACAAUAAUUACAUAUAUUGAAAAGAGAUUCGAAUGUGUAUAUUUUUUUUAUUUACACCAACUAAUAAUCUAAAACUCUAAUAUACUAUUCCCUUUGUUUCAAAUAAUAUAGUUUUACAAUUUGACACAUGCUAAUAAAAAAAUAUUAAAUCUUAGUUAUAAAUGCAUAUUUUUGUGGUUUUAUAUAUUCCUACAAUUUUAAAACCAGUAAGAAUUCAAGAAAUGCAAUUAAUAUUUUUGAAAUUUUGAAUUAAUCGUUUUUAGUUGAUAAAAGGUAUCGAAAAUACAAAAAUAUAUAUUUUUGAAAAAAUUCUUUCCUCGAAAACAUACAGUUUUAUGAGUAUAAUUUAAAGUCUCAUAAUCCCAAAUAAAACUUAAACAUUUAAGAUUUUGAAUGUUACAAAAACAGGUGGACCCAGUAACGUUUUCAAAUUUACAAAUUUCAUUUUGUAAUACAAAAAAUAUUCACCUUCGAGUGAUGAUUAUUUAAAAGUAAUAGUAAAAAAACAUUUCUUUUGAAUAUUUUUUGUCGAGGAGAUUGAUUAUUCUUUGUCAUUGAUUCCUUACCUGCUACUACAGUUUUUUACUAUGCAAAAUCGAAUUACUUCUGAAGAUUGGUUAUGCAUAUUAGGACAUUCACAACCCCUUUAGUAUCGGGAAAAACACUUUUUUUAAACACAGUGGAGAAUCAAACCAUUUGAUUUGAUUUUAAAGAAAAAGAUAAAAUGUAACAACAUUCAUUCGACUCAUAAAUUAAAAUAUCAAUGAUCUUUCACUUUUAUUAAGCUUCAAACUUUUAAAAGAUGCAACAACGUCACUAACACAAACUCUACAAAUAAUAUGCUGUGUGCAAUUUAGAUACUAAGGAAAAAACUAAAAAAUAAAGUUACUACUUGUCUUCGCAUACUCGUUUGGGGUAGCUGGGCGUUGUGCUUGAUCUGCAUAGAAGAAAAAAGACAUAUACAAAUCCGCAAGGACAUGGUAAGAAGCUUAAGAUCUGCUGCAUCCAUCUCUUCAGGGCAUAUAAGACAUGCAUUCAUCCCAUCUUCACCUUAUUUCUUCUGAUUAUACGUCCUAUUUUUUCUACUUAAAUUGUGAUGAAUUGCCUUUUUUGGUGAAGCUUCUUGGUCGCACUUGCACUCGCCUGCUCUUCUCCAUACUGCAGAGAGAAGCAAUGAAUAUUGUUAUCUUUUGACAUUAGCACGAGCUGUUAAGGCGUGAUUCCAAAAUCGCCAUCUGGAGUUACAAAAGCUUUUGGUUUAUCAACGUAGCUAAGGAAUGUGAACACUUUAAGCUCCACAGACUCAGAUUGUACAAAGCUAACACAUACAAUUAUACAAAAUUACCUUCCUGGCACCCCAUAUCCGUCAAACAAUUAGCAGCCUAACAAAUAAAUUAAAAGAGCUUUCAUUAAUCUGUAAACAGACGCAUAUUACACAACGACCAUGAUUCAACAGCCACAAAGUAAACUUACCAAACCGCGCAUAGCAACUCAUAUAGAUAUUCAACGACCAUUUGCUAGGUGAUGUUGAACUUACCCUGUCAGUUUAGGAGAGAAUUGUCGAGCGUCAGACAAUUGUCUAAUUAGGUGUUCCCUACUGGACUGGUAGAACGAUGGAUUUUUUCCAAUUUGCCAAGGCUGAAUAAAAUUCAGUUUCAUUACAUAUUCUCAUAUAAUUGUUUUGUGAUCAUAUAUGUAUAUUCAACUUACCCAAUUCUUCUUUUUGUUUUCGUAAGUUAGAUUGUCUUUUAUUCAACUGAGACAUGUGUUUCACGAAAAUCAAAAGAGGUGGCUUGAGGUACUUCAGUAUGAGGAGGAGAGGGGCGGAUCUACUGCGUGGUCUGGAGGUGCUAUCUGGGAUUGUGGUCAUUCUCUUCAACCUCAUUCUCACCAAGGCUGCUUAGACUGAAGCAAGGCCCUCCACUCCUGAGCAGCGACAACCGUGCUUAACUGCGAGAUAUCUAAGGCUAAACCUAAAUCAGACUGAGCCAUGGAGAGCAAGGCGGACUCUUUCAGAAGAAGUUAGUAAAGGAAAGUGAAAACUGAAUAUCCCUUUGUUGUGGAGUUGACUAUUUUAGACGAAUAAUGAGAUUCUUGGGUUUGGUUUUGAAACAGGGAUUCUCUUGAGCUUGAGAAGAAGACACGAGCGACCAUGAACGCGGUAUGGAAAAGACCACAGAUCGCUUAAAUCGCCAAAUUGUGAACUCCGAGAAUGAUUGUCAACGUGGAGAUCAAAGCUAGAGCAGCAACUGCAGCUACUGAGGCGGAUUAAGGCUUAGUUAAAACCUUUACUUGCAAAACUAACUUAUAACUUUGUGAACCUGUUGAUGUAAGCCCCUAGAUUCGUUGCAAGUUAUGUAUGAAAACUCAGAUGAUGCUUUUUGCUUACGAAAGCCAUGGCAGGCCACCAGCACCCUGAAGCUAACGGUUCUCACCAGAGAGAAGAUGAGUUUUCGUCACUGGUGGAAAGAGUAUGCAGAUUGCAGCCAAGGCCCUAUACCACAAGUUGUUCCUAAAAAUAAAUCGAAUAAGCAGUUAACUGAAACUCUUUUAGAAGCUUAUGUGUCUUCUACUCUAUAUGAAGUUGAAGAGGAGAGAGUUGGUGUACCUGUUAAGCGUCGGCUAUAUGAGGAACCAUAAUACUGUUGGUGGACUUGGUGAGGAGGCAUUGUUUCCUGUAUACUGGAAUGGAGAUAGUUGGCCUGUGCUGAGAGUCCAGAAACUGUUACCGAUCACUUGGAACUUCCAUAUUAUAACAAGGUCUGGCGCAGAAGAAGGGACAAACCCUCUGGGUUUUUUUGCAUCUCAUAUGCAGAUUUGAAGGUUCCAAGAAUAUGUGAGAACUAGGCCAAGAACUGAAGAGAUCGUAAGAGCUCAAAUCAAGGGUUUGCAGAAGCGCCAAAUUGUAAAUUGAGAUGUUAUCAUUUUUUCCUUCUUUUUUUUUGUAACAAAUGAGAUGUUAUCUUUUCUUUUGUUUUAGUAUAUCAUUUUGGUCUAUGAUUUUUAAAUCCAUGUACAUAAAUUCAACUUAAUUUGAACGCCUUCCCCUCAUUAGUACGACUUUUACAAUGUUCGAUUAUUAUCACACACAAAAAAACUAAAUCUUUAGGCUUAUACAUAUGUUCUUCAUAUUGUUGGUCCUAAUGCUAAAAUCAGUAAAAACAAAUUUUAUAUGAUUAUGAUCAAAACAUGUCGGU